rnacentral:ncRNA from 3 species
CUGUGUCCUCGAAUGACCACAAUCAGGUUUUCUUCUUGAUCCUUCAGUGAGCCAAGGAGCAGCAUAUAGUCCAGAGGGUCAGCCCAUGGGGAGCUUUGUGUUGGAUGGUCAGCAACACAUGGGGAUCCGGCCUGCAGGUUUGCAGAGCAUGCCAGGGGACUACGUUUCUCAGGGUGGUCCUAUGGGAAUGAGUAUGGCACAGCCAAGUUACACUCCUCCCCAGAUGACCCCACACCCUACUCAAUUAAGACAUGGACCCCCAAUGCAUUCAUAUUUGCCAAGCCAUCCCCACCACCCAGCCAUGAUGAUGCACGGAGGACCCCCUACCCACCCUGGAAUGACUAUGUCAGCACAGAGCCCCACAAUGUUAAAUUCUGUAGAUCCCAAUGUUGGCGGACAGGUUAUGGACAUUCAUGCCCAAUAGUAUAAGGGAACUCAAGGGAAAAGGAAACACACGCAAAAACUAUUUUAAGACUUUCUGAACUUUGACCAGAUGUUGACACUUAAUAUGAAAUUCCAGACAGCUGUGAUUAUUUUUUAC